rnacentral:tRNA from 1 species
GCCUCUAUGGUGUAAGGGAUGCACAAUAGUCUUCGGAACUAUUAGUCCGGGUUCGAAUCCUGGUGGAGGUAC